UACGGAGGGGGCUAGCGUUGUUCGGAAUUACUGGGCGUAAAGGGCGCGUAGGCGGCUCAUCAAGUCAGGCGUGAAAGGCCUGGGCUCAACCCGGGAACUGCGCUUGAUACUGAAGGGCUUGAGUCCGGGAGAGGAUGGCGGAAUUCCCAGUGUAGAGGUGAAAUUCGUAGAUAUUGGGAAGAACACCGGUGGCGAAGGCGGCCAUCUGGACCGGCACUGACGCUGAGGCGCGAAAGCGUGGGGAGCAAACAGG
rnacentral:rRNA from 1 species